CUACUUCCGUCUCUCCCAAACCUCAACUGAUCCGCCAGUCCGAUCGAAACCUCAUUAGAUUCACACAAUCCGACAUGGAAAGGGAUGCGAUUCAGAUCGGUGCAAACACUACUAAGCCUGUUACAAGGUCUCGCUGGAAGAGGGAACUCAUUCAACUGAACGGAAAACCUGAUCGGAAUUACAUCCACCAGGCCUCUCAGCUGCUAAUGCAGUCGUAUGCCCAGGUCGGGUCAUUUCGCCACAGAUAUCACAUCUCGGAAUCACCUUGUGUUACAUAUGUCUUAUCCCG